UGUUACUGCCUGUUACAUGUAGUACAGCAUGAUUAAUUUUUACCUUAAUCUGUGUUCUGAAACCUGCUCCUCUGAAAAAAAUUCCUGUUAUAUUUUUCCAGUAGAUAACCAUCUGCCAAUAUAAAAAUACUGUAUUUUCUGAAUAGCGAGAAACACAUUAAUGGAAAAGUUUCUACCCUUAUGGAGAAAGGAAAUAUGAAAGUCAGGUCACCAGAACUGGAGUAAAUGAGAAGUUGUUUAUAGAAUAGUGAAACAGGUGAAGGUAACACUUCUGACCUUCAAUCAGUCUUGACUUUUUUUUUUACCACUGAUAUUCCACACUUUAAUUACUGUAUUACCUUGUGGCACCCAGUUACCAUUUUGCAGUAUUCCAAAGCGCACAAAUUCACAGAGCAGUUUUUAAAUUUUAAAAACAGAGGGUUUAGAGUUACCUCUUCAGAUUUGAUGUUUGAUAUUGUAAACCUUGGAGACCCACCAUGAUUGUUCCAUGGUGUUUAUUUUACACAAGAUGUAGAGAAUGAAUAUGAGAUAAGGAAAAACAAAUAAGCUAAACGUCCAAAGGUCAGAAGCAGCAGAUUUGCCAUGCUUCAUAUUUUCUAGAAACCUUGUAAGAAUCACUUUAUGUGUAAAUAUGAAUGUGGAGAAACAUGUGGAAGCUGUCUUUCAAACUGGUCAUGUCAGCUGCCCAGUUUUCUCAUUUACCGGAGUCUGUUCUGAGUAGUAGAGCUGUUUGCCAGAGCUGUGGUGAGGGGGAGUGAACACUAGAGUAAUGUCAUCAUGUAUGUACCUGAAUUUCUUCUGCUUCCUUUGCAUUUUCUAAUUCUAUUUAUUCAGGCUUCCCAGGCCCCUUGAGGGAAACUGAAGGAACAGCACAAAGGGAGUUGGAGAAUAUCAAGAUGUGUCUUCAGGAGCAUAGCAGAAGCCUGUCCAGGAAGGGCAGGAGACAGCAACACCAGAUAAAACCCAAAUGAAUACACAUGGGAUCCUAUAAUAAUGUUUCCUUUUGUUAAUGUGCAUCCUAGGGGUUUGGUGCUUCAUUGGGUCAGAAGAUGGGGAGGAACUGUGCAAAAGACGCUGUCCCUUAUCCAUAAACACACUGAUAGGAAAGUAGAAGUGCCUGGGUGUGCAAGAUGAAUGUACUUUUUUAUGUAAAACCUGUUACAUCAGAAUGAAAUGAUGAUGGCAAGAUACCUCAAUCCUCUUGGAUGCUAGAGCAGCCACCGUCAAUAGCCCUGGCUGUAAAACUGUGCCACAGGGAUUUCCAGAAAUAUUGAGCCUAUGUGAGAUUUUGUUGAUGAGAAAUCGCCUACCUCUGUCCUUUCUGCUCCACUUAUGCUCCAGAGUCAACCUUUCUUCUCCCUUUAAUGUGUCCAGCCCAUAAUGUGCCAAGUGCAAUCAACAGCUCACUUGUUUAGGUCUAGUAGGGAGGGAAUAAUUAAAUGGCUUUGCCUGUCCAAAGCAAUUUAUUCUACACUCCUGUGCAUAUGGACACAGAGAUACUCUUUUUUCCUUGUGAUAAUCUUUUAUAUUUUCAUUAAGUGAUGUAACUAUAAAAAGAGUGCAGUCUCUUUCUUAGGUUAGGACAGCUGGAAUUUGCUGCUUGUAUUGCCUGCCAACAUGCAACAUUUCGAAGGGUAAAAAUCUUCACAAUGUAUCUGGUGUAUCUACUAGUAAUGAUGGAAAAGAACAAAUGAAUUCCUGUUCUAUGCUAGCGACAAAGCUAUGCACAGAUGUAAAAAUCAGUCACGAUGAUCCUUGGUUUCACAGAUCUCUGUUCAAGGAUUUCAGUGGUAAAUACGGUAAUCAAAAUGCCUGUGGACUCUAACCCAUUUGGUGUGUACAUACAGCUAUUUGCAUUAUUUGUCUCCAGUGGUAAUGUAUUAUUUUUCACCCUUAGGUCAGACCAUUAAAGUCUGCUGCUCAAUACCGCCUAAACUCAACAAAAAAGCGCAUAAAGGUAUAAAUUUCAAAAUUACUCGGAUGGAAAUAAGGAAAUACUGCAAGCCUUGUUCUCGGCGAGCCCCUCUCGUGGUUCCUGGACCCCUUCCACAGUUAAAAUGAGCAGACUGAGAGCAGUGUGAAAAGCAUCCGCCUGCCAGCGCUUUACUUGGUUGAGGGCCCUCCUUUCACAGAUAGGACAUGAGUGUAUAUUAUUUUAUUUUUUGUUUGGGAAAGGCUUCAGUCAGUACUGUUUAUUCAUCCACUCAGGCUCCUGCAUCUUUUUAACAUUAGCCUGGCAGCUAAAGAGUCAGCCAAAGCUGUCUGCCUGCCACUGGACUUUGUGUCACUUGCAUAUUCGUCUGCACCAAACAGGGAUUUAGCUCCUCAAAUAAGUGAAAGAGGACAGCUAGCCAAAUCACUUUGUUUUGCAUUUUUGGAUUGCCUAAAAGGUGGGAAAGGGCUGAUGUUAUUCUUUCUAGUUAUCAGUAUAUAUGCAUAUUUAACCUUUUCUAUGAACGAUUUAUUUUAUAUUGACAAAAGGAUUUUGUUUGUAGCUAGGCACAUGAUGAUUUUUGCUGCAGUCAUUGCUUGAAAUCCACUUGGAAGUGAAUUUCUAGCAAGUGAGAGAGUUCAUCAUUUAGAAGGGGCUGAGAAACUAGAUAAGCAGGUUGUUAAAAUAGUGGUAGAGGACCAGAUUCAAGUACAGUGGUAAGCUUUUCAAUAUGUCCUCUAGGGGUUUAAAUCUGGCUUGAAAAGCGAAGGGCCCUGUUCUUUAAUUUCCUAGAACAAUGUCAUCAGGUGGUUAUUAAACAGCAUACUGAAAAGGUGUUAAAGCUAAUCAGAUUAAAUCUCUUCCUCUUGCAGCCAGAAGGCAGCUGUUCUUUUAAGGGACCUGAGUUGUGUGAUCACCUUAAUAAAUAAAACUUACUGGAGCUUGAAAUAAAUGCUAAGAAUAAUACCAAAGGGCUGAGUAACAAAGAAACUGAUGCACACUCUGCUGACAUCAUUAGCAGUGAUUGGGGUCUGCACUCAUGUAUCUUCUGUCCUUUCCUAGCUGUCCCUUGCAUGUGCUGCUAUUUCUCUGCCUGGGGUGAGUCCUUAAACCAGAAUCACUUGGAUGCUCAUAAAUUCGAUUUUCCUUCUAGUGAAUACGGGAGGAGUAGAAAGCUUUUCUGCUGUUGGGUAAAUUGCAGAUUGCAAAUAGUAAUUUUUCCCUCAGUACUCAUAGUACUGCAGUUUCUCUUAAACAUAAUUUUCUGUAUGAUAGAAAUGGUCUCAGUGCCCUUCAGAAUUUGGGGCUGUUGAAUGGGGACAGCCAGGGGCCUGUUGUAACCCACAGAGGCAAAUGUAAUUCCCAAGGGUCCAGUUUAUGGACACUUGCAUGUGGCCGUGCUCUCUUAUUGGCAAUGUUUUUAUUGUACUGAGCAAUUGAAUCUAUUUCUGUGUCUUCUGUGUGCUUGUUAUUACUUUAUUUUCUUACUGGUUUUGAGAUUAGAUAGAUCUGACUCUCAGCUUCCUAUUUUUGAAGAGCUGGCCGCGCACAGCAUUUAUAUCAAGGAUAAAGGAGCUGCAUGUCCUUUUCGCAAGAUCUGAGUCAGGAGGUUGGUGAAGGAGCUGUGUUUGAUUGUUUUGCUGCUGAUCACUGGGCAAACAUAUUUUAUUUCUAUUUUGUCUUUUGUAGCUUGCAGAAGGAAUCUGUAGAAUACAAAUGACAAGUAAAUGUAAAAAACAUUUUUGGUAUUAAAUGUGUUUGCAGCAGGGUUUUACACUGUAAAAUAUGGCCAUGUGUUUACAGCUCUGUAUAAAGUGUUGCUAACAGGUAUGAAGAUUCUGUUCUCUAAUGUGAGCUUAAGCCCAUUUCUUUUAUAUCUGAAAAACGCUGUAUGAUUUUUCUCUUUGCCCCACACCCUCCAACCAGUGUGUUCCACACUCUCUGAUCCUCCUCCAGGCAAAAUGUUCUCUCUGAUAGCAAGAACAUAAGCCCCAAAGACCAUUAGCACAAUUAGAGGAGUACUCUGGGUCUCUGGAGGGAUGCAGGGACAUCAUCCAAUGCACUUGAAUAUUUUACUCACUUAGGUUCCCAGACUGGCCUCAACCUAAGGUUGAGAGCUAUUCAAGUUAAAAAUGUUGCUUGUGUGAGGUCCUGGUCUUGACUGAACAAACUAAAGCAUGAAUCCUCAAAUUAUUUCAGCAUGGAUUGUGACUGCUGCCCAAAACAUGCUUUUUGCCUUGUCUAGAGGUAUUGGGAUGUCAUGUGUCAGCCUCUGAAGGUGAUUCCUCAACAGGAGUUUGACUCUUAUGUACCAGGCCAUUUUCCCCAUGUGGUAGAACAGAGCUACCACCUGAUUAUGGCUUCACUUACAGGCAUCUGUUCUUCCUUUUGUUUUCCUUUCAUGUCUAUGUAUAUUUGUUUGGCAUUACCUGAGGAGAAACAUAUUUGUUCGGUGGCUGGCUUUUCUAAGCACACAAGCUGUAUGCUUAUAUAAUGUAGUAAAUUUAGCUUGUCCAAGCUGACAAAUGCAUUUGUUUCUAUCUUGUGCUUUUGUGUGCAUUCGGCUGUCAAGCAUGAAAAUUGCACAGCCUUCAAGUUCCAAUAAAGAUGUUUCUGAAGUAUC